GGGAGGCGUUGCUUGUGGAAAAAAAACCCCAGGUCGGGCGAUUCCCUCUGUGGAAAGCUUCCUCGGAGAUGCUCGUAGCCGCUCCGAAUGCGUCACCAGAAGCCUUGCCAUCUCUGGGAAGCCCGCUCUUGCUGUUGCUCACGUCCAGUUGUUGGAUGAAGCGGUGGGGCAGGGCCUGUGUUGCCAACAGGAAAUCUAUUCUCCCGUGUCUUUUGCCAGGCAGACUUUUGAAAUCAGGUGCCAGAUGGGUCCUGGCAGGGCUUGCUGUCUGCGUCAGGUGUGGGAUCCGCUAGCGUUCUGACAGCGGUGAAACCCCGCGCUUGCUUGGCUCCCCGUACUCGUGACUGGUUUGAUCAAAUGCAGGGCACCGUUUUCGCUGGGCAUAGCAGAUCGUAGGUAAAACGCGCUUCAUUUGCUUAGUGAGAGGUUCCUGUUUGUCCCCUCGUGCGGAGGCACUGGAGUGUCCGUGGACUUGUUAACCUCGCCUUCAUCUCAGGUGGUUGAAAAAGACAGGGCUGUGAAAAUCCCUAAGAGUCAUUUGAUAUGCAGGAUCAACAAAAAGAUGAGAAUUGCUGGAAAACUGUCUGUCUUGUCAAAAUAUUUUGCAGUGCAGGAUGGAGUACCCCUUUUCACCUGCGUCGUCUGCAGAUAAGCUGUAAUGAAUGCAGUUGACAACUGAGCGCGAGUUCUGUUGAGAGUGUGCACGCUGGAAGAGAGAGGUCAAGCUGGAGCCGGCUUAAGGUGUGAACAAAGGUGGCCCCUGGGCUGAAGCUUCACAAAGGAAGGUUUGGUCUGGAAUUUGUUUUCGUGGCAGAGAUAACCAAGCAAUUCCUCACGGAAACUGGCAAAUUUGUCUUUUCUGAAGGAUGCCAGCGCUCUGAAAGAGGAUUUUGCAAUUCUUGUAAUGGUUCAAAAACUCAUUGAGCCAGAGACAAAGCCGGCCCAUGGAUUGAUAACUCUGAGGAAUCGUCGAAUCAUUCAUAACUACCAAUAAUAUCCACGAGAUGUACAAAGGAGGAGGAAGACUCAUGCCUGUUUUAUAGGUGGGUAAAUUGAGGUAAGUGACGUGUGCGUUGUGUGGGACACCUAGAUAGGUCAGAACUUAGAAAUCCUGUCCACCCAAAAGUACCUGGUGCUUCUUGGGCAUGCAGGCUGGUCUUCCCGUGUGUGGUGUGUCUCCUGCCACCUUUUUAUGCUCAGUUACAAAAACAAAUACAGCUUCUGUUAAGACACAGAGGAAGAAAAGGAAGAGUUAAUUGAAGAAAAGGAAAAGUGAAUUUAACAAAUUGAAGACUUGACUUGUGCUGGAAUAUGUGGAUGCCUUCUUUAUUCAGAGACAGAAUGAAAGGGGAAGGAAGCAGAUUCUGUAGCACAGAAGUGAUUAUCAAAACUAAAUUAAUUUUAAAGAUAAAGAUAAUUUUCAAGAUGGGCCUUGUUAGGCUUACAAAGCAGGGUUCUUGCGUGCCUGCACCAUUGAUGUCUUUAAAAGUAGAAGUGGCAUACUGGAAUAAGUAUCAUGAAUUGGUGC